UUCAAAAGCCUAAACCACUCUAAAUCUUCCCCUCUUUCAUAAUCCAAGCUUAGUUUUGAGUGGGGAGCAUUGUGGAGAGGGAUAUUGGCUCUCAAAAAUUCGGCCCUUUGGUGAAAUUUGGGGUUUUGAGGGCUUCAACCUCCUUUGAAGCUUGAGGAGCCAUCAAUCCUUGGUUGUGCAACCAUUGGUGGAUUGAGACAUUUGGACCAACCGUGAGUGAUCAACCAUUGGAGCAAGCUAUGGAGCUUGAUUAGCUCCAUUGGAUAGGUUUUGUUUGAGAAGUGGAGUAUUGUAAUUGACUGAC